AUGCUCGCUUCAACGGCACAUAUACUAAAGUUGAAAAUGAUACAGAGAUUAGCAUGGCCCUUGCUCAAGGAUGACACGCAAAUUUGUGAAGAGGUGCAUAAUUUU
rnacentral:snRNA from 1 species